rnacentral:rRNA from 1 species
AGUGAACGCUGGCGGCAGGCCUAACACAUGCAAGUCGAACGGUAACAGGAAGAGGGUUUGUUCUUUGCGGUCGAGUGGGGGGGGGGUGAGUGAUGUCCGUGAAACUGCCUGAUGGCGGGGGGGAACUCGUGGAAACGGUAGCGAUAACAGCAUAUAGUCGCAAGGCCAGAGAGCGGGAGAUCUUCGCACCUUGCGAGCGGGAGUGAGCCGAUGUCGGAUUAGCUAGUGGGGGGGGUAACGGCACACCUAGGCGACGAUCCGUAGCUGGUCUGAGAGGAUGACCAGCCACACUGGAACUGAGACACGGUCCAGACUCCUACGGGAGGCAGCAGUGGGGAAUAUUACACAAUGGGCGCAAGCCUGAUGCAGCCAUGCCGCGUGUAUGAAGAAGGCCUUCGGGUUGUAAAGUACUUUUGGCGGGGAGGAAGAGAGUAAGGUUAAUACCUUGCCUUAUUGACGGUACCCGAAGAAUAGGCACCGGCUAACUUCGUG